rnacentral:rRNA from 1 species
GUCAGGAUGAACGCUAGCGCAGGCCUAACACAUGCAAGUCGAGGGGCAGCGACAAGGAGCAAUCUGAGGUGGCGACCGGCGCACGGGUGAGUAACACGUAUGCAACCUGCCUGUAAGCGGGGAAUAACCCGUUGAAAGACGGACUAAUACCGCAUAAUACUAAAUUACUGCAUGGUAAUUUAUUUAAACAUUUAUGGCUUACAGAUGGGCAUGCGCAUGAUUAGCUAGUUGGAGAGGUAACGGCUCCCCAAGGCAACGAUCAUUAGGGGUUCUGAGAGGAAGGUCCCCCACACUGGUACUGAGACACGGACCAGACUCCUACGGGAGGCAGCAGUGAGGAAUAUUGGUCAAUGGACGAGAGUCUGAACCAGCCAAGUCGCGUGCAGGAAGAAUGUCCUUAAUGGAUUGUAAACUGCUUUUGCAGGGGAAUAAAGUGCAUCACGUGUGAUGUUUUGUAUGUACUCUGCGAAUAAGGAUCGGCUAACUCCGUGCCAGCAGCUGC